ACAAUGGACUGCAAAAAGUGUGAUUCCUGGAGAGGUAUUAAGAGUUAGGGAUGGUUUUCUUUUGUUUUGCUUUAUUAAGAAGCGAGGACUGCAGAACUCUCAGCAUGUAAUGACUCCAUCCAAACGUUUGCACCAGGAGACAACCCAACUCUAGCAUGGCUCCUAGCAGCAUAAGGCCCUGUCUCCUGGAUGCUCCCUCCCCCUCCCCAUGAAAAUGUCUGCUUUUCUUAAAGUAUUUUCUUAAAAGGGGUUACAACUGAGAAUCCUUCCUCUUCUCUGUAAGAUGUAUAUAUGUCUCCCAUAACUCAGGAGUGUCUUUCUCAAAGACAAGAAUGCGCCUCAGGAAGAAUGGAGCCUCUGUCUCCCAGUGUUUGUGGGAGGACGGAAUCCUAACUUGGAUAAUUGCCAGGUGGAGUGCACAGCCGGCCCAAUCGCACUUCCACUUGAUCAACCUCUUGUAAUUUUUUACUUCCCUGACUCUACUGAGCGUCUUCUCGCCCCCUCCCUACUCCCUUCACAACACCCAGUCACCUCUGCACAAACUGGAAUUGAGCUCAGCCAUUUCCCCUUUGUCAGCAAUUACUGAAGAAGAUCUGUUUUCACUGUUUUGACUAAUGUCUGACCUUGUUUAUCUUUGACAGUAGGGAGAGAUUGCAGCAUAUGGGCAGGUGGACGGGAUUACUCCAACAGAGGGAAGAAUGAUGUUACAGGAGAGAGACUAAGAGCAUUUCCAGUGGCUAAAGAUGAGUGCUUCAACGGAUCAUCCGAAGAGGUUCUGCAGGGCUAGAGAGACUCCAAACACAAGAAUUGGGCAAACACUGAACUGGAUGUGGUUGCUGAAUUGUUUCUGUCCUUAUCUUGUUGAGAUGUUUUACAUCUUUCAUCAGAAAUUUCUCCACUGUCCUUGAGCUAGUGUUUUCCAAAUGCCAGUCGAUAGAGCAGUGCUGAUCUGUGACAACAUUUUCACUGAUCUGUAGUCAUAUCAAAGAAUAAAAAAAUAGGCUGGACAAAGUGGCUCAUGCCUGUAAUUCCAGCACUUUGGGAGGCCAAGACAUGCAGAUCACUUGAGGUCGGGAGUUCAAGACCAGCCUGACCAACAUGGAGAAACCCCAUCUCUACUAAAAAUACAAAAUUAGCCGGCCGUGGUGGCACGUGCCUGUAAUCUCAGCUACUCAGGAGGCUGAGACAGGAGAAUUGUUUGAACCCUGGAGGUGGAGGUUGCGGGGAGCCGAGAUUGCGCCAUUGCACUCCAGCCUGGGCAACAGGAGAGAAACUCCGUCUCAAAAAAAAAAUAAAAAUAAAAAAUAAAAAAUAAACAGAAAAAUAAAAAUUCAUAUUUCUCAAGUGAGGUUUUCAUAAAAUUAAACUCCUCAAUUUGAAGGGUUUUCUUUUAUUCUAAAAUUAUGUCCUUCUUCAUUCUGGUUUCUCUUCAGAUUGUAUAAACCUUUUGGUUUUUACUCAAAUUAUGUUCUCAUACAUUUUGAUGUUAAAAUAUCCUUAUUUUUAGUGGGAAGAUGGCAAAAAUGGAUGGUAGUUUUAAAAAUAUCUUUACUUGGCGCAAUAAAUACCUGGCAACCAUAUAUUGAUUUCCUCUCUACUUUUUAAAAAUAUAUGUUAGUCUAUAAAAUAUAAAAUCUGAAAACCAUGGCUCUAAAUGCCUCUAAGUCUCUCACGGCUCACUUCCCAUGCGAGUGCACAUGGGGAAAGUUGUUACAGUCCCCAUCAGCAGGAGGAACACAGGAGACCCAAGUUCAAAUCUUGCUUCUCCACUUACUGGUCCUUUGACCUGGAAUAAGACAUUUGGUUUUAUCUGUAACAUAGCAAUGAGUAUUGUACCUACCUUAUAAUGGUUUUUAUGGGGUGCUCAGUAGAUGUUUGCUCUAAUGACUACUAUUACUAAUUUCAGGUAAUUUUUUUUGUCUCUCAAAUUAUAAUUAGAGUUUAGACUUUAAAGACCAGAUCUUUUCAUUUAAAUUUUUAUAUCUCAAAAUACUGUCUGAAUGAUGGACAAAUCUCUCCUUAAGGUAACCAUUUAAAUUCAUUCUCUGAAAAAAAAUGUAUUGCAUCAUGAAAUGAAAAUCACCUUUAAAAAUAUAAAUUGCAAAGUGAAUGGUGAUUUUCCUCUGACUUUCCAUUGAUACCAUAAGGAGCUGGAUUGUCAGAAUCCUUUAGAAUUGUAAAAAAAAUGGCAAAGGGGACAGGGGCCUGUUCCUCAUUUGUUUUGAGUAGACACUUAUCACCAACACACCAUAGGUCUAAUCCUGUCUAAAUCUAGAAAUAAGAGCUUAGAUUCAAUAACUUCUAAAAAUUCCCCAGAUCAGAGCAAUUGGAUUUAAGCUUCAUAAGCAGUGAAUAUUGUAUAACUUUUAAUUGCCUAAUUGUAGGCUUAAGCAUGUUAAGCUAUUUUCAUUUCAAAGUUUCAAGCCCAAGUCUAUUUAAAUAAGCUGAAAUCAAUGGCACUUCAUAAACUGCCUCUUUUACAAGAAUUCCAGAGUCAUUCUCUGUCCCUUUUUUCUUUGUGACAGCUUCAACUUUUAUGCUUUCAGAACAGAUCACUGGCAGAAUGUUCCUACAGUAGAAAUAAAACGACUUUGUAGUUUUUCUUCAUUAUCAAGAUCUGAAAUAUUUUAACAAAUGUUAGUCGGUUGGUGAGGCCUGGCAAGCUCUGGAAGGAGCUCUGGAGAGGAACCAAACUAUGUCUCUCACAUGUUCCCACGCUUUCUUAUGUAAUAAAAAGAGUC
rnacentral:lncRNA from 10 species